rnacentral:lncRNA from 1 species
CAAAGCGAGUGGUAAAUCAGAGAAGAUUACAAUCACAAACGAGAAGGGUCGUUUGAGCCAAGAAGAGAUUGACCGGAUGGUGAAGGAGGCUGAGGAGUUUGCAGAGGAGGACAAGAAGGUGAAGGAGAGAAUUGACGCCAGAAAUGCCUUGGAGACAUACGUGUACAACAUGAAGAACCAAGUGAAUGACAAGGACAAGCUUGCAGAUAAAUUGGAAGGUGAUGAGAAGGAGAAGAUCGAAGCAGCAACCAAGGAAGCCUUGGAGUGGCUCGACGAGAACCAAAACUCAGAGAAAGAAGAGUACGAUGAGAAGCUCAAGGAGGUAGAAGCAGUGUGUAACCCAAUCAUCACAGCAGUUUACCAGAGAUCAGGCGGAG